rnacentral:rRNA from 1 species
AUUGAACGCUGGCGGCAGGCCUAACACAUGCAAGUCGAACGGUAACAGGAAGAAGCUUGCUUCUUUGCUGACGAGUGGCGGACGGGUGAGUAAUGUCUGGGAAACUGCCUGAUGGAGGGGGAUAACUACUGGAAACGGUAGCUAAUACCGCAUAACGUCGCAAGACCAAAGAGGGGGACCUUCGGGCCUCUUGCCGUCGGAUGUGCCCAGAUGGGAUUAGCUAGUAGGUGGGGUAACGGCUCACCUAGGCGACGAUCCCUAGCUGGUCUGAGAGGAUGACCAGCCACACUGGAAGUGAGACACGGUCCAGACUCCUACGGGAGGCAGCAGUGGGGAAUAUUGCACAAUGGGCGCAAGCCUGAUGCAGCCAUGCCGCGUGUAUGAAGAAGGCCUUCGGGUUGUAAAGUACUUUCAGCGGGGAGGAAGGGAGUAAAGUUAAUACCUUUACUCAUUGACGUUACCCGCAGAAGAAGCACCGGCUAACUCCGUG